rnacentral:rRNA from 1 species
GACGAACGCUGGCGGCGUGCUUAACACAUGCCAGUCGAACGGAAAGGCCCUGCUUUUGUGGGGUGCUCGAGUGGCGAACGGGUGAGUAACACGUGAGUAACCUGCCCUUGACUUUGGGAUAACUUCAGGAAACUGGGGCUAAUACCGGAUAGGAGCUCCUGCUGCAUGGUGGGGGUUGGAAAGUUUCGGCGGUUGGGGAUGGACUCGCGGCUUAUCAGCUUGUUGGUGGGGUAGUGGCUUACCAAGGCUUUGACGGGUAGCCGGCCUGAGAGGGUGACCGGCCACAUUGGGACUGAGAUACGGCCCAGACUCCUACGGGAGGCAGCAGUGGGGAAUAUUGCACAAUGGGCGGAAGCCUGAUGCAGCAACGCCGCGUGCGGGAUGACGGCCUUCGGGUUGUAAACCGCUUUCGCCUGUGACGAAGCGUGAGUGACGGUAAUGGGUAAAGAAGCACCGGCCAACUACGUG